rnacentral:rRNA from 1 species
AUUGAACGCUGGCGGCGUGCUUAACACAUGCAAGUCGAUCGGUAACGCGGGGGCAACCCUGGCGACGAGAGGCGGACGGGUGAGGAACGCUUGGGAAUCUGCCUAUCAGCGGGGGACAACCCGGGGAAACUCGGGCUAAUACCGCAUACGCUCUACGGAGGAAAGCCGGGGACCGCAAGGCCUGGCACUGAUAGAUGAGCCCAAGUCGGAUUAGCUAGUUGGCGGGGUAACGGCCCACCAAGGCGACGAUCCGUAGCUGGUCUGAGAGGACGAUCAGCCAACCUGGGACUGAGACACGGCCCAGACUCCUACGGGAGGCAGCAGUGGGGAAUAUUGGACAAUGGGGGAAACCCUGAUCCAGCGACGCCGCGUGGGUGAAGAAGGCCUGCGGGUUGUAAAGCCCUUUCGGUAGGGACGAAAGCUCUCGACCUAACACGUCGGGAGGUUGACUUAACCUACAAAAGAAGCACCGGCUAACUCUGUGCCAGCCGCCGCGGUAAUAC